GCCAUGCAUGUCUAAGUAUAAGUUAUACAAAGCGAAACUGCGAAUGGCUCAUUAAAACAGAAAUAAUUUAUUUGACGAUCUUCUUACAUGGAUAACCGUGGGAAACUGGGGCUAAUACAUGCGAAAAUGCCUAACGGCUGUAUUUAUUAGUUUCAAACCUUUAAUAACUUCGUUAUUUAGUGAGGAAUCAUAAUAACUAAUCGGAGCGAUGAAAGUCGCUACAUCAUUCAAGUUUCUGCCCUAUCAGCUUGAUGGUAGUGUAUUGGACUACCAUGGCAAUCACGGGUAACGGGGAAUUAGGGUUCGAUUCCGGAGAAGGGGCCUGAGAAACGGCUACUAUUUCUAAGGAAGGCAGCAGGCGCGUAAAUUACCCAAUCCUGACUCAGGGAGGUAGUUAAUGGAAAUAACCAGUCCGUCUCAUAGAGACUUGGACUAGUAAUGAAUAGAAUUUAGAAACUUCUUUGAAUACUAUUGGAGGGCAAGUCUGGUGCCAGCAGCCGCGGUAAUUCCAGCUCCAAUAGCGUAUAUUAAAGUUGUUGCAGUUAAAAAGCUCGUAGUUGAAAUUCGGCGUAUGCCUGUUUGCUCGUCUUAGGAUACUUAUGUUUCUUAAGAACGACAGACGUUUACUGUGAAAAAAUUAGAGUGCUCAAAGCAAGUUUAGCUUGAAUAAUUUAGCAUGGAAUAAUAAAAUAAGACUCCUUUCAUUUUAUUGGUUUUUGAAAGGUGGAAUGAUUAACAGAAACAGUUGGGGGCAUUUGUAUUUGAUAGUCAGAGGUGAAAUUCUUAGAUUUAUCAAAGAC
rnacentral:rRNA from 1 species